CUUUCCUGUGGACAGAACUAGAAAAUGCAUAUGCAUAUUCAUAUGCAUUCAUGUAAUUACAUAUAUACAUAAACACUGCCAAUGCAAAUUCAGAUCUACAGGGUUUUUAUUGAAUGUGUAUCUUUCAUCUGAAUCUCCUUUCUCUAAUACCAAGCACUGUUGUUUUUGAGGACGGGGGAGUAAUAGAAUUAGAAUAUCCCAAAAUGUCUCAUUUACUCUGUCGCACAUUAUAUAAACAAAAGAAUAAAGACAAUAACAACAAUACCACUAACAACCCAAUUGAGGAAAAUGGUUUUUUAAUUUGUCGCUGCCUUGGUAUAUGAAUAAAUUAUUGUGUCUUAAAGUCUCUAGGAAUAGUUCUAAUCCAUAUGGUUGUUCCACAACAGGGAUACAACAGGUUCAUUCAUUACAUUGUGUUUUCAAUGUCUAGAGGCAAAAUUUUUUAAAUUUAAUUUAGUUUUAUAAUUAUGUAAAAACAAAUGUGGUUUGCAACUCAAAUAUAACCAAAAAAGUUACAUUCAAAUAGUCUAGCCUUGACACAAAGAUCUGCAAGCAUUUCCAAAGCCUGGGCCCAGGUGAAUCAGGAACUCCUGCUCUCCACAGACGCUGGAUUCUCUGGCUAGGAUUGCUCUUUCUGCCUGAGUUUGGGAGGAAAGGAUGAAAUUUCCCUGGAGUCAAUUUCAAAGCUUAGCCUAUCAGGGGUUUUAGUGUCUCAUGGAGAAUUAGCUAGAAAUUAGGAAUAAAAUCUGAGUAAGUUAGAAUAGAAUAAAUGAAAAUCUGAAUAAAAUAGGCCAUUUAACAAAAUACAGUACUUCUAAUUCAGGUCUGGAACUUGUAUCCCAAAACGAAGACACAGUCACAAUGGCUGUCCCAGCCCCAUCGCAGGCCCUCACACGUCCCUUUUACUCACAGAGAGACAGGAGGUCCGAUGACAAGACUUGCCCUGCGAAGGCCCCUCGAGGUGCAGGAUUGAAUGGACACAGCCACUGCCUCUACUCCCGAGGCCCGAGGGUGACCCUGAUGAGGGACUGGCACUACCCCUCUGGCGCCGGGCCCAGGCCUCGGAUGGCCAGCGACCCGCAGAGCUGCACGAGGCCAUCGGGGGCGCCCCAGGCUCUGUCACCUCCCUGUGUCCCGGACUCCUGAGGAGAAGGUGGCAGAGGGCAGGGGACGCGGCUGCGAGAUGCAAAGGGUGGAGGGAGCAAGAGUCACGCGGAGACCCGGGGCAGCGCGGGCCCGUGGAGCUUCCUUCCCAGGUCGGAACUUUUCUCUCCGACAGCGGGACGGGAGGGGACGCGGAGCGGGACACCACGUCCCGUCAACUCCGUCUGUGAGGCGCCACUUUGCGUUCCAGAGGAGAACCUCCCUUUGGGCUGUGGGGUAAGGGAUGGCCGGGCCUGGAGCGAGCGUCCGGAGCCGGGGCGGGGGCUGGAGGCCGCAGCCAGAGCACACCCAGCGCCCACGGAGCCCCGGCGGGGCCGCGCGUUCUCCCGGAGGCGGCCCGGCCUCCUGAGCCCCGCCCCGAGGACGGGCUCCGACGGCCUCGCGGCCCGAGGGCGGCCCGUCCUCGACGGAGGGGUCGCCCCGCCUGCCCGCGCUCUGCCGGGCUCUCCAGGCCGCUCCGUGGGGGUGAGAUCAAGUCCUUCUGGAGCGGCGGCAGGGAGGGGCUUUUAGGCCUCCCCCAAAUCCACCUCCUCCGCCCGCAGUACUAGAGUUUCCUGCCCUGGGGCAAAAUCCUGUCAGGAAAAAAAAAAGUGUCCUUUUCCUUUCCUUUGCCGUUGUCCUCUUCGCACUGUCCCGGGAGCUCCGAUGACCCUCAGAACAGGACUCGGACUUCCUGGGGUCGCCCCGCCCCGUCCAGGCCAACAUAGGAACCGGCUUCCACAGGCUGAGGGCGGAAGGGAUGCGCGUCUCUCUGGUCCGGACCCUUUGGGGUCCCGCUGGGGAGGCGGAGUGAGGUGGCCCCCGCUGAGUGGCUGAGCGUCCACAGCCCGUCCUCCAGCCUGGGUAGGACGGGCUGAUCCAAGGCGACUCGGUGGCCGGGGUGACCCCAAACAGGCAACCUCGGGUUCCACGAGGCUAAAUCUGACCCUCAAAAUCUAGGGACCUUGAACACCGCGGGAGACCUUGUCCUUUGUAAGCCCUUUGAGUGGAAGGGCCAGGGCGCCUCCUGGUGGCCCCCGCAGGGACGGCGUAGGGGAAUCCCCUCACCUAUGACGCGACGAGGGCUGGUCCGAAGAAAAUCGAUAUAAGCGCCCCAUUUCGGUGCAGGAGAAGGUCCUCUUGGACAGAGGCGCUCACCUGGAGGUUUCCCCGCCUGUCCUCCUGGCGCUGUCGGGAGCCUCAGCGCCGCGCCCUCUUGGCCUCCACCCUGGGGGCGCUGCGCGCUCCGGGCACCAGGGGCCCGGGCGGAGUCUCGGCGCCUCUGACCGCAGAACCCUCCUCGUGCGGUGCUCCAAGCGCCGCCUCGCCGAAGGGAGAGCUCCCAGCCCAGAGAGUACAAUCACCAGGAGUUGCAGACUUCUCUCCCGGACGCAGAGUCCUCUCGAUUAUCAAUCGGGUUCCAACCGAAGCGGCCACGGCGCCUACACACCGCACCGUGAGCACAGCCGGCCAGCCACGACCUGCGGUGGUGUGGUCCGGCGUCAGCAGAUGCCGCUGGUGUCUCUGCACCACCUGGAGCGCCAUGGCCACCUUGACCUACCUGAUUCGACAUCUGGAUUCCAGGGGAACUGCCAGGGUCAGAGGCUGAAGGCACAAGCAUGGAAAUCACCAACUGGUCAGACUCCAGAAGUACAGCUGAUAACAUUAAAGAGACAUUUCUCUAGUGCCUGAAAUGCCCUUCCUAGUGUCCUUCACAUUACAAGGGCUUGGGAAACGUCACAUGAAGCCAGAGAAAGCUCUGGUAUUUAAGGAGUCAUAUGAUCAGAUGUGGCCGACCCACAUGAUCGCCCCAUUGUAAAGUCAGCUGUGCCUUAGAACAACACAAUCAGAGGACAGUGACUCAUCACGUCAACAAGUUCCAGGGAUUUGGGUAUUUCCUGAGUGUUUUAUCUGGCAGGCACUUGUGGAGGCUCUGGGGAGACGGGGUGGACAAGGCAAAAAGAGCGCCUGUUCUCAUGAAGAAGACCUUCUGGCACAGGAGCCAGACGUUUCACAGAUGUGGGUUCCUGGAAGGUGUGGUAGGUGCUUUGGACAGGGAAGCUGCAGCCAAGGACGUGUGGUGGCUCUGCCACCAUCAAGUGGUGAGGGAGCCUGGGAAAAUCUAAUCUCUUUGGGCCUCACUUUCCUCAUAAGUAAGGUAAGGUUGUUACCAGAUUCUCCAAGUUCCCUUCCUGCUCAGU
rnacentral:lncRNA from 1 species